UACGAAGGGGGCUAGCGUUGUUCGGAAUCACUGGGCGUAAAGCGCACGCAGGCGGAUCGUUAAGUCAGGGGUGAAAUGCCGAGGCUCAACCUCGGAACUGCCUUUGAUACUGGCGAUCUUAGAGUCCGGGAGAGGUGAGUGGAACUCCGAGUGUAGAGGUGAAAUUCGUAGAUAUUCGGAGGAACACCAGUGGCGAAGGCGGCUCACUGGCUCGGUACUGACGCUGAGGUGCGAAAGCGUGGGGAGCAAACAGG
rnacentral:rRNA from 1 species